UGGGGAAUAUUGGACAAUGGGCGGAAGCCUGAUCCAGCAACGCCGCGUGAGGGAUGACGGCCUUCGGGUUGUAAACCUCUUUCAGCACAGACGAAGCGCAAGUGACGGUAUGUGCAGAAGAAGGACCGGCCAACUACGUGCCAGCAGCCGCGGUAAUACGUAGGGUCCGAGCGUUGUCCGGAAUUAUUGGGCGUAAAGGGCUCGUAGGCGGUUUGUCGCGUCGGGAGUGAAAACACCGGGCUUAACUCGGUGCUUGCUUUCGAUACGGGCAGACUAGAGGUAUUCAGGGGGAGAACGGAAUUCCUGGUGUAGCGGUGAAAUGCGCAGAUAUCAGGAGGAACACCGGUGGCGAAGGCGGUUCUCUGGGAAUAUCCUGACGCUGAGGAGCGAAAGUGUGGGGAGCGAACAGGAUUAGAUACCCUGGUAGUCCACACCGUAAACGUUGGGCGCUAGGUGUGGGGUCCAUUCCACGGAUUCCGUGCCGCAGCUAACGCAUUAAGCGCCCCGCCUGGGGAGUACGGCCGCAAGGCUAAAACUCAAAUGAAUUGAC
rnacentral:rRNA from 1 species